GCCCGGGUGGUGAAAUCGGUAGACACAAGGGACUUAAAAUCCCUCGGCGGCAACGCCAUGCGGGUUCGAGCCCCGCCUCGGGCACCA
rnacentral:tRNA from 1 species